UGCCCGGCGCGGUUCGGGUUCGUUGGGCUCCCACCUUGCAGCACGACGGCCGUCUUCCACCCGCUCCUCUUCAGAGUUCCCAACUUUUUUGAUGGAUUUAUAAAAUAUUGAUAGAGACGAAGCCGCGAUUCAAGGCUGGUGUGUCAGAGGCCCUUUACGAAAAUGGUGGAGAGUUAUUGCAGAACAACGGAUUUGGGGCGAACCAUGAUAGGCGUUAUGUAGCUGUGGCUGUUGCUACCCUACGCAGUACCUUUGUGGAAUUAAAAAGGCACCAGACCCUCAGGGAGACGCAACGGACAGAUACUGCCACUCCAGGGCACGUCUGUUGUGACAUCCUCUUCAGAGUGGCAGAAACCAUAUGGUCCAAAAGCCUGAAAUACUUACUAUCUGACCCUUCACAGAAAUGGAAGAAGGCUGACCCCUGCUCUAGGCA